rnacentral:rRNA from 1 species
UACAGAGGUCCCAAGCGUUGUUCGGAUUCACUGGGCGUAAAGCGCACGUAGGCGGCUUCUCAAGUCAGGGGUGAAAUCCUGGAGCUCAACUCCAGAACUGCCUUUGAUACUGAGGGGCUCGAGUCCGGGAGAGGUGAGUGGAACUGCGAGUGUAGAGGUGAAAUUCGUAGAUAUUCGCAAGAACACCAGUGGCGAAGGCGGCUCACUGGCCCGAUACUGACGCUGAGGCACGAAAGCGUGGGGAGCAACAGG